rnacentral:misc_RNA from 1 species
GAUGAAGAACGCAGUGAAAUGCGAUAAUUAAUGUGAAUUGCAGAAUUCAGUGAAUCAUCGAGUCUUUGAACGCACAUUGCGCCCCCUGGUAUUCCGUGGGGCAUGCCUGUCCGAGCGUCAUUGCUGCCCUCAAGCACGGCUUGUGUGUUGGGCCCCGUCCUCCUUCCGGGGGACGGGUCCGAAAGGCAGCGGCGGCACCGCGUCCGGUCCUCAAGCGUAUGGGGCUUUGUCACUCGCUUUGUAGGCCUGGCCGGCGCUUGCCGAUCAACCAAACUUUUUAUCAGGUUGACCUCGGAUCAGGUAGGGAUACCCGCUGAACUUAAGCAUAUCAAUAAGCGGAGGA